GCGUCGGUGACAGUUGAGAGCCCCUGCUCGAGCUUGAAUAAAUGACCCUCGUGUGCUUACAUCGGGAUUGGCUUCCUGGUGGUCUUUGGGUCUACGCCAUCUGGGCACAACAUUUGGGUGCUCGUCAGGGAUCCCCAAGAUCCUCAGGAUUCCCAUACCAGACGGUUGACACCUGCUGCCCACUUGGGAUGAUUGUCAGCAGCUUCUCGAGAUCCUGUUUACAACAGAGGAGCUCAAAAGAAUCCAGAAUGAGGCCAGGAAAUUGGUUCCUGGUGACAAUGGUCAACUCACCACCAAUAUUGAUACUAUCAACACUUCUUUUCCUUUGUCCUGGCCCAACUGGGACUUCCACAUAGCAGAAGAGGCCCGCAAAGGAAUAACUCCACACAUCAGGAGGUUGCUUGCUCAGGGUAUUCUAAGGCCCUGUCAAUUGGC
ensembl:lncRNA